GAGGGGCCAGGCUGAAACCCGGAUCAGUCCCGGGCGGGGAAGGGGCUGCGGCUGCGGUUUAGAAGGAGAAGGUGUGAAAAUAUGCCCACAUCGCAGGCAUUAGCACAGGCUCCCAUUGUUUGAGCUGCCUACGAAGGAUGACGCUACAAAUUUGCCAGGAUUUGAGCAGCCUCUGCACUGGGACUUCCAGACCCGGCAGGCAGGAAGGCAGCCCAUCGAGCCUCUCUCCUCUUUGGGGGUCAUAACCCCUCAGCCAAACCGCCUAGGUAAACUACCUCUGGAAGAACAGAAAAAACCUGACCUUGCAGACUCUUUGUAGUGCGAGGAGAAAAUAGGAUUAGGCCAAAGUCUGUGCAAGGAGGAGAACACAAGCACAGAGAGUAACAUCUCUGGCAUGCUCCACCCGAUCAGGCACCAAAGGAAACUCUUUCUGCAAAGCGGAACAGUGUGAAGCCUGCUACUGAAGUCAAGCCUGUCUCAUGAAUAUUGCAGAUUUGGGCACAUCUGAACACACCCCACACGGAGUGCCAACCUAGAAGGUGGCCAAGCAAGAUGGCAACACCCAGAACAAACAAGUCAAUAGUUGGGUUUUGACUAAAGCGGCAGUCUCUCUUCUCCAUCUUACCCUCUGUCUCAGAGGAAGCAAAGAUGGAGUGUGGGGCUAGCUGGGGCUAACAAUGACGGAAAAGAUCUCGAGUAGCUUUCUCAUUCAGGCCAAAAGAAAACCUGUUUUCUGUUCCUUGAAGAGGCAUAGAAAGUACCACCGUCAUUCGUGCGUGCCCAUACACACACCCACACUCUUACACACUUUCAGAUUUACAUUCACACACACAGAGACACACUCAUGAGAUGUGCUUUUGGCUGAACACACCUUUCAGAUGGUGCCCACUGCUCCUCAUAUAGGCCCAUAUAGCUCUCCAAGUCCCCAGAAGGCCACACACUGUGGGUAUCUGCAUAGCAUGCUUGUGUGUGUGUGUGUGUGUGUGUGUGUGUGUGUGUGUAAUAUGAAACAACACAGGCUUUGGUGGGUCAAACAACCAUUCCAUUUGGCCAAGCAGCAAAAUUGGAAAGGAGAGAAACUUCCUGAUGCUGAGGUAGCCUGGGAUGGAGUGUAAGUAAUUUCCUUCCAAUAAACUUAGGGAUGUGUCCAG